rnacentral:rRNA from 1 species
GUGGGGAAUAUUGCACAAUGGGGGAAACCCUGAUGCAGCGACGCCGCGUGGAGGAAGAAGGUCUUCGGAUUGUAAACUCCUGUUGUUGAGGAAGAUAAUGACGGUACUCAACAAGGAAGUGGCGGCUAACUACGUGCCAGCAGCCGCGGUAAAACGUAGGUCACAAGCGUUGUCCGGAAUUACUGGGUGUAAAGGGAGCGCAGGCGGGAAGACAAGUUGGAAGUGAAAUCCAUGGGCUCAACCCAUGAACUGCUUUCAAAACUGUUUUUCUUGAGUAGUGCAGAGGUAGGCGGAAUUCCCGGUGUAGCGGUGGAAUGCGUAGAUAUCGGGAGGAACACCAGUGGCGAAGGCGGCCUACUGGGCACCAACUGACGCUGAGGCUCGAAAGUGUGGGUAGCAAACAGGAUUAGAUACCCGAGUAGUCC